AAGAAAAAAAAAACGAGAGACUGAAAAAGAGAGACGUAUAGCGAAAGAAAGAAUAAGGACGCGGGAUUCUAUCCCCGUAUAUUUCACAGGUGUUCGAAUCGAUCGAGUGAAAAGCUUAACGUGAACAUAUUGGCAUAACCGAUCGCAAGAUUUUCGGAAAAACCGUUACCACUCCGGAUUUUGGGGUCCUCUGGAUGUAACAGUUUUUCACCGAAGAGAAGAAAAGAAAAGAAAAAGAAAAAAUUUACUUCCGAGAUUCCGUAUUUCUAAAGGAUCUCCAUGACAAUGAAGAUCGAGACGAGGUUCAUCAGCUCUCCUCUCGGAGAUCACCCUCUUUUCCUUCUUUUUUUUUUCUCUCUCUCUCUUUUUCUCUCAUUGGAAAUUUUACUCCAUAGAUGUAGCGAUGGCCGGUACUUCAUCUCCCAACCGUUCUUCGUUUUUCUGGGGUAUUGUGCUGACGAUCCGUGUAUUCGGUACACGGUAUGCUGUAUCUCGCGAAGAUACAAUGUGAGCAAAAGUAGUAUUUUUCUUUGUCGCCCGUCGCAGGGAUGCUGCGCCAGGGUACGCGUACGUUGCUUUCGUGAGAAGGGGAGGAAUUUGUUACCUGGAUCGGGGGGGGAAAAAGCGAGAGAAAAAAAAAAAAAAAAAAUUAAGCCAGUAGACCGUGGUGGCUGAAUUUACAGAGUUUUAUAGAGAAAAUAUUGUCCCGUCCGGAAGAAAUCCCAAAUUUUCGGUUUCCCCGGGCUCUCACUUGCGCGCGUGUAUGUAGAUCGUAAUAGUCGAAUCGUGGGAAAGAUAAAUUUCGGUCUCGCCACUCGGUGGACACGAAAAGUUUUCAGUGAAAGUAGGAAAGCGAAUAAAAAAUGAAAAAUAAAUUUGGAACAAAGGUAAAAUAGUCGAGGACCGCGUCGACGAACGCUUGCAGCUUCGUCUCGACGAAGGGACGAAAUGAUACAUUUUUUUUUUCACUUAUCCCGCAUCUCUAUAAUUCUCGACGCGAUGUACCAUAGAUGGGCGGGUAUAUCGGUACAGUUUUCGUUCAAGGAUCACGAUAACGGAUCUAAAACAGACGCGCGACGUCUCGGAAGAAGCUAGAGGACUCGUCCACGAAUAUAUUUCGUCCGAGAUUAUACAUGUAAAGGACAUCUCGGUUCUGCUGAGAACGCUUCGCGGGAUAAAGAUGACUUCAUAGACUCCUUCGCGGUGCAGGCGAGUGUAGAUCAGAGGAUCCGCCGUGCCGCGGGGCACGCGUCAUCGAGCAGAAGGACCGCGAAGACGAUGUUGCUGGAGGGAAAAGAAGAGUCCCCCGGUUUUCUCAUGUACGCAACAUGUGGCCGAGUGUUCUCCGGUGCACCGCGCCAGGAGUGGAGAAGGAGGAGAAGAAAGAAAAAAAAAAAAAUGAGAGAAUGUGGAGAAGGAAAAGGAGAAAUAGGAUGGAUACGCCCGGUUCCACGUGUUGCACCACGACGCCGCCGCAGCCUGCGAGAACUUUUUAUUUCGUUUUUAUUUUCAUUUCGCUUUUUCUGUUUUUUUUUUUUUCUUUGGAACCGGAAAUACUCGCUACGGGGGAGGGACGGAUAAUAUUUUUGAAUAAUUGCUGUUUGGACGAGCUUUCCUUAAUUUCCCUAGUUUUGGAAUUUUUCCAAUAUUUAUUACACACCGUCCGCGACGUGGACAAAAAUAGAAGCCCGCCCCUCCCCCCUCGAUCGAUGGAAAAAUCGUCGAGACAUUACGACAUCUCGGAUCGUACGUACUUUUCGUAAGUUUUCUCGACGUUUCACAAACUAUCGAGUCACUAACGACAAACGAAAGUUAACAAUGGAAUUUGAUAAAUUAAUUUGCCUCGGCGACACCGCGUUCGUAACCGCUGAGAUGACCUCACUUUAUAAUUGUACGAAUUAACGGAGGCCCCCCCCCCUGCAAUAAACCGGGGUGAUCGUCACGCUCACGUUUAUAAUCCAACGCACAACUACGUGUCUUAUUACACACGCGGAACAUUUUCAGUCCUUCGACCGUCUUGCGCAACUUCGAACCCAAAAAAAAAAUGAAGAAAUCUCGAAUCACCGCGACGGAAGCUGCCUCACUUCGUGCUUCGGAUAAGCUCCGAGCGAACCAGAGGUACUCGAAAAUUUUUUAUCUAAAGUGGAAGGAACACUCGCGCAAAUGCGGAGUGUCCGUUAACGGUUUGACGCUAUCCAAGUAGUACGAGAGGUGAAAUAUGCGCGCCACAUGUAUGAAAAAAAAAUUGGACGAUUCAAUCGGGGGGUGAAGAUAGGUGUAAAUGGUCCCGUGAUCGCGUUGCGUACGCGAAUCGGAUUCUUUUUUCAUUGGUAAAAUUCAACCGGGUUUCCAAAAUGUCGGUUUCUAUACAAUAUAUAUGAUGUACAAGUUUUGGCCGCUACCGCAUGUAACAUUCCUUCCGCAUGGACCGACGGUGUAGUUUCGGUGUUCUUCUCGGACUGGUUUUGUCCUCGCCGCGUCGUUGAGCCCCAGAACCAGCUUUUACGAUCGUGUCUUUUCAUCGGACGCGCGACGGGUUUACAUGGGUUUUACGAACGACGGGGUAUACGUACGUACGUACGAAACAAAAGAACUUGUCAGUCGUUUGUAAAAUUAUGCUGGUGGAACCCGCAUGGGUAACACAACGUACGGACACGUCUUCUUAUCAACGUACAUUACCGGCAUAUUAAAACCGUCGCGAGUUUACGGCUGUAAUACGCGCGCGGCCCCGCAAUCAGCUACGCGCCCCGUCAACGAAAACCGGCGAGAAACGUGCAACCUUGGAAGUUGACGAAAGAAAAAAACGAACGAAACGUGGAAAAAAACAAAAAAAAACCAUCGAAAGAAAGAUAAGAAAUUCGUCAGCGUUUCAGUACCGCUUGUGGGAACAGGCGUUUCGAAAGCGAAGAGGAAUCGGCGAGGAUCGCUUAGGAUUCCGUCUGGUUCCUUUAGCGGCAGGACAAACAUAUGGCGACUACAUGCUCGGGGACUCUUCGGUGGCUCGGCUGACCUCUCGAAGUUCUUGGAUAGCGUCGGAGUUGUAUUCCUAGCCCAUAUGGUACUCGUUUCGGUAUUAUAAGUCGUUCGUCGCUCGACGGACGCCAAUAGCUACUGGAUCCAUAAUAUAUAUUUAUAGUUUGCGGUUUCUCGCUACAUAUGGUGUGCGCAUGAGUUAUAAAGUUUCUUAGAAAACCGCGUGCGAUUCACAUUUUUCUAUAACGUUAGACGGGCAUCCGUCAAGGGGGGGGGGGGGAUGCAGUUAUACGGAAUUAUUCUAUGGGCAUUGAAUCAUCUUCCAUAAAAAAAACAUCCGUAAUUCGAGCGAUCAAAGGAUACGAGAAAAUAAGUGAAAAUAAAAUAGACGACCGACCGACCGACCGACAUUCCCCACGACGAUGAAUCUCUCGGGGCAUGCUAUUUGGACGUUUCCGGCACAUUACCAGACUGGACCACUUCCGGGAUAAAGAAAACCGUCGUCCCGCCCCGCACGGUCGAACGCGACGAGCGACGGAUUCUCGGUGACCCGCGGUCAAACGCACGUCGUAAAAUUCGUCGAACGAUAUCCCGAUGAGUAAUCAAACUCUCUUAAAUUAAAAUUUCUACAACUCAAAUACGGUCGCAGCGAUCGGAUAAUUUUUUUUUGUCUUUCUUCUACGACGUUCCAACGGUCGUCGUACGUCGUUUCUUACUUCUUCUUAUUUUCACUCGGUACGAGUAGCACGUGCCGGCGCUUGGCGAUACACGAUUUCUCACUCAAGAGUCGCGGUAGACGUGUAGUUAAAUAGCCGAAGUAUAAGUCGCGGCUUGAAUAUGGGUACGUACGUGGACGGGCAUCGGUAUGGGCGUGAGACGUAACGUGCGUUUUCUCGUUUAUAGGUGUACGGGUAAAAGGAAACGUUCCAGGAAGUUUUGGCGCGCAGGUGUCGACGGCGACGUGGAGUGCCGACGAAGGUGGUCCAUAUAAACGCGGCCCUCCGUGUGCGCGUUGAACGAACUUUGGAACCUGCGGCGAACCUCGGCGAAACGUCACGAGUCCGGGCUGCCCGGAAAUUUUGAUAACAGAGGUGGCGCGCUUCGACGGAUUAUCGGCAUCUGUGCUCGACGAGCUAGUCGCUUCAGAUAUCCUCCGAUCCGCUCCCGAAGAGCACAACGGCCCGAGGACUGAUCCGUGUUUCGCAACGACGACGACGACGACGCACACCUGUUCCGUAAGUGUUAUAUACGUAUGUCGUGUGAAUGUAUACCGUAUGCACAAUAUCGGGAAGUCGAGAUCUCACGUCCCGCAUAAAGUGGCACGCGUUCAUCUCUCUGCUGCAGGCAUACAGCGAUCGACGUUUACCCUCGACAACGAACGAGGGUGGGCAGGACGAAAUCCGACGUGGUUUUUAGGGCAAACCGGAAACUGGUCCACGAGUAAGCCGCUGCAGUCGUUGAUUGUAUGACCAACAGGCGGCACACAAAGCAGUCUGGUCUCUCAUCGGGAAAACAAGACUAUCCUCGGUGCAUCUACAAAGUGAAUCGUCAUAUGUUCGGUGUAGAUACUUUGUAUGAAUGAGUUAUGCAUUAUAUUUUCGAAGAACUAUGACAUUACUGAUAUUAAUUAGGAAAUUAUUAAUUAUGAUAAUGUUGAUUUUGAUAUAAGGAUUGUUAAAACUAAUUAUAAGAGAUGUAUUUUAAUGAACGUAUGAACAUACUGUACGCAUUUUGAUUUUUAACUGUGAACAAUAGGAUUAUUAAUCUAAUGAAGUUGAUCAGAAACGAAUUAUUGUAAGCACACGAUUUUAAGUCGAUCUAAUCAUGGAAGAAUAAAUGUAUCUGUAAAAAUUAGGCCGUAAUGGGCAUCACGAUGUACCAACAUGUAUUUUCGAACGUUGAUCUAUCAAUAAACUUCA